UACGUAGGGGGCAAGCGUUGUCCGGAUUUAUUGGGCGUAAAAGGCUUGUAGGUGGCCACGCCAAGUCGGAUGUGAAAUCUCCCGGCUCAACUGGGAGGGGUCAUUCGAUACUGGCGGGCUCGAGGCCGGUAGGGGGAAGUGGAAUUCCCGGUGUAGUGGUGGAAUGCGUAGAUAUCGGGAGGAACACCAGUGGCGAAGGCGGCUUCCUGGACGGUUCUGACACUGAGGAGCGAAAGCGGUGGGGAGCGAUCCGG
rnacentral:rRNA from 1 species